rnacentral:rRNA from 1 species
GUCUAUGGCUAUGUCACCCUGAACAAGUCCGAUACAGUCUGAUCUUGGAAGCUAAGCAGGGUCAAGCCUGGUUAAUAGUUGGAUGGGAGACCACCUAGGAAGACCAAGUGCUGUAAGUG